rnacentral:rRNA from 1 species
UACGAAGGGGGCUAGCGUUGCUCGGAAUGACUGGGCGUAAAGGGCGCGUAGGCGGAGUGCUUUGUCGGGCGUGAAAUUCCAGGGCUCAACCUUGGGGCUGCGUUCGAGACGGGCAUUCUAGAGUGGAGAAGAGGGUCGUGGAAUUCCCAGUGUAGAGGUGAAAUUCGUAGAUAUUCGGAGGAACACCAGUGGCGAAGGCGGCUCACUGGUCCGGUACUGACGCUGAGGUGCGAAAGCGUGGGGAGCAAACAGG